rnacentral:rRNA from 1 species
GGCGUGCCUAACACAUGCAAGUCGAACGAGAAAGGGGAGCAAUCCCUGAGUAAAGUGGCGACCGGGUGAGUAACACGUGACUAACCUACCCUCGAGUGUGGAAUAACAUCGGGAAACCGAUGCUAAUACCGCAUAACAUCGCAAGAUCAAAGGAGCAAUCCGCUUGAGGAGGGGGUCGCGGCUGAUUAGCUAGUUGGCGGGGUAACGGCCCACCAAGGCGAAGAUCGGUAGCCGGCCUGAGAGGGCGCACGGCCACACUGGAACUGAAACACGGUCCAGACUCCUACGGGAGGCAGCAGUGGGGAAUUUUGCGCAAUGGGGGAAACCCUGACGCAGCAACGCCGCGUGGAGGAUGAAGCCCCUUGGGGCGUAAACUCCUUUCGACCAAGACGAUAAUGACGGUACUGGUGGAAGAAGCACCGGCUAACUCUGUGCCAGCAGCCGCGGUAAUAC